rfam:Daphnia pulex DAPPTscaffold_1492_Cont12974, whole genome shotgun sequence.
GUCAAGAUGACCGAGUGGUUAAGGAGCCAGACUUAAGAUUCUAAUUCAAAUAACAGAUUAAUAGGUAAUCUUGUGAUAUCCGUUACUUGGCAUUCUGGUCUUUGAAGAAGGCGUGGGUUCGAACCCCACUCUUGACA